UGACGAGAAGACCCCGUCAAACUUUAAUUAUUAUAUAUAAAAGUGAAAAUAUAAAAUAUAAAUUAAUUUUAGUUGGGGCAACUGGGAGGGAUAAAAAUCUUUUAUUAAAUCAUUUAUAGUAAUAUUUAUAUUUAUGAUCCAAAUUAGUUAAUUUUGAACUUAGAAU
rnacentral:rRNA from 1 species